rnacentral:rRNA from 1 species
CCUACGGGAGGCUGCCGUGGGGAAUAUUGGACAAUGGGGGGAACCCUGAUCCAGCCAUGCCGCGUGUGUGAAGAAGGCCCUCGGGUUGUAAAGCACUUUCAGUGAGGAAGAACGCCUGGUGGUUAAUACCCAUCAGGAAAGACAUCACUCACAGAAGAAGCACCGGCUAACUCCGUGCCAGCAGCCGCGGUAAUACGGAGGGUGCGAGCGUUAAUCGGAAUUACUGGGCGUAAAGCGCGCGUAGGUGGCUUGAUAAGCCGGUUGUGAAAGCCCCGGGCUCAACCUGGGAACGGCAUCCGGAACUGUCAAGCUAGAGUGCAGGAGAGGAAGGUAGAAUUCCCGGUGUAGCGGUGAAAUGCGUAGAGAUCGGGAGGAAUACCAGUGGCGAAGGCGGCCUUCUGGACUGACACUGACACUGAGGUGCGAAAGCGUGGGUAGCAAACAGGAUUAGAUACCCUUGUAGUC